UACGAAGGGGGGCUAGCGUUGCUCGGAAUCACUGGGCGUAAAGGGUGCGUAGGCGGGUCUUUAAGUCAGGGGUGAAAUCCUGGAGCUCAACUCCAGAACUGCCUUUGAUACUGAAGAUCUUGAGUUCGGGAGAGGUGAGUGGAACUGCGAGUGUAGAGGUGAAAAUUCGUAGAUAUUCGCAAGAACACCAGUGGCGAAGGCGGCUCACUGGCCCGAUACUGACGCUGAGGCACGAAAGCGUGGGGAGCAAACAGG
rnacentral:rRNA from 1 species